UGAAUACCAGACGCUACGGCGUUGAAGCAGUGUAUGUCAGACUUCCAAGAAAAGCUCGCAAUGUCCGAAAUAAAAUAAUGCCUGUACCAUAACCGACACAGGUGGGUAGGUAGAGUAUACUAAGGGGCGCGAGAUAACUCUCUCUAAGGAACUCGGCAAAAUAACUCCGUAACUUCGGGAGAAGGAGUGCCUUAUUUUAAGGUUGCAAUAACAAGAUCCAAGCAACUGUUUACCAAAAACACAGGUCUCCGCUAAGUCGUAAGACGAUGUAUGGGGGCUGACGCCUGCCCAGUGCCAGAAGGUUAAAGAAGUUGGUUAGCUAUUGCGAAGCUGAUGACUGAAGCCCUGGUGAACGGCGGCCGUAACGAUAACGGUCCUAAGGUAGCGAAAUUCCUUGUCGGGUAAGUUCCGACCCGCACGAAAGGCGUAAUGAUUUGGAUACUGUCUCGGAGAGGGGCUCGGUGAAAUAGACUUGUCUGUGAAGAUGCGGACUACCUGCACCCGGACAGAAAGACCCUAUGAAGCUUUACUGUAACUUGAAAUUGAAAUUGGACUUUAUUUGCGCAGUAUAGGUGGGAGGCGUUUGAAGAUAUUCUUGCGGGAAUGUUGGAGCCAUUAGUGAGAUACCACUCUUGUAAUGUUAGAUUUCUAACUUUGUACCAUAAUCUGGUCAAAGAACAGUUUCAGGCGGGCAGUUUGACUGGGGCGGUCGCCUCCCAAAUGGUAACGGAGGCGUACAAAGGCUUCCUCUGAACGUGUAGAAAUCGUAUCUGGAGUGUAAAGGCAUAAGGAAGCUUGACUGUGAGACCUACAAGUCAAGCAGGGACGAAAGUCGGUCUUAGUGAUCUGACGGUACUGAGUGGAAAGGCCGUCACUCAACGGAUAAAAGUUACUCUAGGAUAACAGGCUGAUCUCCCCCAAGAGUUCACAUCGACGGGGAGGUUUGGCACCUCGAUGUCGGCUCAUCGCAUCCUGGGGCGGUAGUACGUCCCAAGGGUUGGGCUGUUCGCCCAUGAAAGCGGUACGCGAGCUGGGUUCAGAACGUCGUGAGACAGUUCGGUCCAUAUCCGGUGUAGGCGUUAGAAUAUUGAGAGGAGCCUUCUUUAGUACGAGAGGACCGAGAAGGACAUACCUCCGGUGUACCAGUUAUCGUGCCAACGGUAAACGCUGGGUAGCUAUGUAUGGAGAGGAUAACCGCUGAAAGCAUCUAAGUGGGAAGCCCACCUCGAGAUGAGUAUUCU
rnacentral:rRNA from 1 species